ACUGAACGCUGGCGGCAUGCCUUACACAUGCAAGUCGAACGGGUAACGCGGGCAACCUGGCGACGAGUGGCGAACGGGUGAGUAAUGCAUCGGAACGUGCCCAGUAGUGGGGGAUAGCCCGGCGAAAGCCGGAUUAAUACCGCAUACGACCUACGGGUGAAAGCGGGGGACCUAAGGCCUCGCGCUGUUGGAGCGGCCGAAUGUCAGAUUAGGUAGUUGGUGGGUAAAGGCCUACCAAGCCUUCGAUCUGUAGCUGGUCUGAGAGGACGACCAGCCACACUGGGACUGAGACACGGCCCAGACUCCUACGGGAGGCAGCAGUGGGGAAUUUUGGACAAUGGGCGCAAGCCUGAUCCAGCCAUUGCCGCGUGCGGG
rnacentral:rRNA from 1 species